rnacentral:rRNA from 1 species
CUACGGGACGCUGCAGUAGGGAAUCUUAGACAAUGGGGGAAACCCUGAUCUAGCCAUGCCGCGUGAGUGAUGAAGGCCUUAGGGUUGUAAAGCUCUUUCGCUGGGGAAGAUAAUGACGGUACCCAGUAAAGAAACCCCGGCUAACUCCGUGCCAGCAGCCGCGGUAAUACGGAGGGGGUUAGCGUUGUUCGGAAUUACUGGGCGUAAAGCGCGCGUAGGCGGGCUAUUAAGUCAGGGGUGAAAUCCCGGGGCUCAACCCCGGAACUGCCUUUGAUACUGGUAGUCUUGAGUUCGAGAGAGGUGAGUGGAAUUCCGAGUGUAGAGGUGAAAUUCGUAGAUAUUCGGAGGAACAUCAGUGGCGAAGGCGACUCACUGGCUCGAUACUGACGCUGAGGUGCGAAAGUGUGGGGAGCAAACAGGAUUAGAUACCCUAGUAGUC